rnacentral:rRNA from 1 species
GACGAACGCUGGCGGCGUGCCUAAUACAUGCAAGUAGGACGCAGUUGCGAACGGGUGAGUAACGCGUAGGUAACUACCUAUUAGAGGGGGAUAACUAUUGUAAACGAUAGCUAAUACCGCAUACUAGUAGAUGGACCUUCGUUGUAUUAGAUAUUAGGUAGGGUAAUGGCAUUCCUAGGCAACGAUACAUAGCCGACCUGAGAGGGGGAUCGGGCAAAAUGGGACUGAGACAAGGCCAAGACUCCUACGGGAGGCAGCAGUAGGGAAUCUUCGGCAAUGGGGGGAACCCGGAACGAGCAAAGACGCGGGAGUGAAGAAGGUUGUCGGAUCGUAAAGCUCGGUUGUUAAGGAAGCGGUACUUAACCAGAAAGGGACGGCUAACUACGUGCCAGCAGCCGCGGUAAUUC